CAUGUCCUUUAGAAUUUAAUUUAAGGUCUAGCCUGCCCACUGAAAUUAAUUUAAAUGGCCGCAGUAAUUUGACUGUGCAAAGGUAGCAUAAUCAUUAGUUUUUUAAUUGAAAGCUUGUAUGAAAGGUUGGACGAGGUAAAAUCUGUCUCUAAUUAAUUUAAUUUAGAAUUUAACUUUUAAGUCAAAAGGCUUAAAUUUAAUUAAAAGACGAGAAGACCCUAUAGAUCUUUAUAAUUUAUUUAUUAAGUUUAAUUAAGAAUUUUUUAAAUUUUAUUAAUUUAAUUAUUUUAUUGGGGUAAUAUAAAGAUUAAAUUAAUUCUUUUUUUUUAUUAACAUUAAUUUAUGAUUUUAUGAUCCAAUUUUAUUGGUUAUAAGAUUAAGUUACCUUAGGGAUAACAGCGUUAUUUUUUUAGAGAGUUCUUAUCGAUAAAAAAGUUUACGACCUCGAUGUUGGAUUAAAGAUUAUUUCAGGUGUAGAAGUUUGAAAAUUUUGGUCUGUUCGACCAUUAAAUCUUUACAUGAUCUGAGUUCAGACCGGUGUAAGCCAGGUCGGUUUCUAUCUUUAGUAAAUUAAAAUAUUUUAGUACGAAAGGACCAAUUAUUAAAUAUAAAAUAUUUAGAUUUUAUUGAUUAUUAUU
rnacentral:rRNA from 1 species